CGACCCAGGGAUUGAACCUGGGUCUCCUACAUUGCAGGCAGGUUCUUUACCGUCUGAGCCACCAGGGAAGCCCCUCCCUCCAUUAGGUAAGCUCUUAUUUAUUAACCUUAAUGUCUCCUCUCACCAAUGGCAUCCUCGUUUUCUUCUACUCAGUCGGAUAUCGAGUAGAGUGGUUCUCAGUGGAGAGGGUAGUCCUGUUAUGGCUUCUCUGCCCGCAGGCUUUCUUGCUGUAAAAGGCCACGUCCCCAGAGACCAUUCACUUCUCUUGGCCUGGGGUGAUCCAGCAAGGGUGCCCGCAUCUUUAACAGAGCUGACCUCGAGGACAAGAGGGAUGGGAAACAGGGAGAUGUGUGCGUAAUUCCGGAGCUGAGAGGCGGCCGGCCCGGCUGUAAUAAAGCUGUCUGUUAGGAAGUUAUCUUUCAUAUGCAAUUGCUUCCCCUAAGCUCUUAAGCACAUUAACUGCACCUGUAAUUAUACACACCUCAGAAAAUGCAUAAAAGCUGCCUUCUUUGCCAGACUAAAUAAAACUGCAGUCUCCUUCAUAUCCUCUACUGCCUACUGUACCUUAACGUUAGGGGGGAAAAAAGGAAAGAGAAAUGAAGGAAAAGAGAAGAGGUAAUUGCCCAUUAGAGAGUUGGUUAUAAGUGAACUUUGCCUCUCAUUUCCAGCAUUAAUUUUGCUCUGUGUGAACUGCACUUGACACCGUUCCGCGGGCCCGAGAGUCCUGGCCACUCUUGGUGGCCUGCACAGCUACUCGCUGUCCAUUUGCAUGUCAGGCAGUGUGUGAGACCACAACAGCAACAUUUGCUGUGACUCAGGAUAGCUUUGCAUCAGAGUGGAAAA
rnacentral:lncRNA from 1 species